rnacentral:rRNA from 1 species
GACGUAGGGGGCGAGCGUUGCCCGGAUUCACUGGGCGUAAAGGGCGCGUAGGCGGCCUGGCAAGUGGAAGGUGAAAUCCCUCGGCUUAACCGAGGAACUGCCUCCCAAACUGCUUGGCUUGAGACCAGGAGAGGUGAGUGGAAUUCCCAGUGUAGCGGUGAAAUGCGUAGAUAUUGGGAGGAACACCAGUGGCGAAGGCGGCUCACUGGACUGGUACUGACGCUGAGGCGCGAAAGCGUGGGGAGCAAACGGG